rnacentral:rRNA from 1 species
UUGGUGCCAAAUCACGAGCUUA